rnacentral:rRNA from 1 species
GACCUCGGAUCAGGUAGGAAUACCCGCUGAACUUAAGCAUAUCAAUAAGCGGAGGAAAAGAAACCAACAGGGAUUGCCCCAGUAACGGCGAGUGAAGCGGCAACAGCUCAAAUUUGAAAUCUGGCCCUAGGCCCGAGUUGUAAUUUGUAGAGGAUGCUUUUGGUGCGGUGCCUUCCGAGUUCCCUGGAACGGGACGCCAUAGAGGGUGAGAGCCCCGUCCGGUCGCGCGCUAAGCCUAUGUAAAGCUCCUUCGACGAGUCGAGUAGUUUGGGAAUGCUGCUCAAAAUGGGAGGUAUACGUCAUCUAAAGCUAAAUAUUGGCCAGAGACCGAUAGCGCACAAGUAGAGUGAUCGAAAGAUGAAAAGCACUUUGGAAAGAGAGUUAAAUAGCACGUGAAAUUGUUGAAAGGGAAGCGCUUGCAAUCAG